rnacentral:rRNA from 1 species
UACGUAGGGUGCGAGCGUUGUCCGGAAUUAUUGGGCGUAAAGAGCUCGUAGGCGGUUUGUCGCGUCGACUGUGAAAACCCGAGGCUUAACCUCGGGCCUGCAGUCGAUACGGGCAGACUAGAGUUCGGUAGGGGAGACUGGAAUUCCUGGUGUAGCGGUGAAAUGCGCAGAUAUCAGGAGGAACACCGGUGGCGAAGGCGGGUCUCUGGGACGGUACUGACGCUGAGACGCGAAAGCGUGGGGAGCAAACAGG